rnacentral:tRNA from 1 species
UAGAAGGUGGCCGAGAAUAGGCGACAGGCUGAAGUUCUGUUGACGGUGAAAAAGCACCCUUUCUGG